CUGGACGCUAGUGAAGAUUAAUGGGUUGCUAGGAGAACGUUAGGGCCUGCUUCCCUGUCUAACAUUCACUACCUAUGCAACAUGGACGCGUGUCCACUGCCGGUACGGUACCUGCUGCGCCGACCGGUCCAACAUCCGUGCACAUGCUCCGACCCCAGGGUGGGGUCUCAUCGGCUCUGGGAUCCAACUUCUGACUUCCCGACCUUCCGGAUGAAACAAGGUGGUGGCAGUGUCAACAUUAUCCUCUUAGACUCCAUCCAGUGACAGCGCCACCUGAGGGUGGUCUGAGGAGCUGUUAUCUUGGAGAGGCCAAUGGGAUGAAGACUCAACCACACUAGUACCAAAGGCUAAAGGCUAAAGUCAGCAGUGAGCAUGAGGUGAGUUGUAAGGACCUGAGCAGUCUGCAACGUAAGAGGAGACCAUCAAAGCAGGAACCUGUAUGGAUCGUCACCA
ensembl:lncRNA